UACAGGGGGUGCAAACGUUGCUCGGAAUCAUUGGGCGUAAAGCGCACGUAGGCGGUUCGUUAUGUCGGAUGUGAAAGCCCUUGGCUUAACCGAGGAAGUGCAUCCGAAACUGGCGAGCUAGAGUACUAAAGAGGAUCGCGGAAUUCCUGGUGUAGAGGUGAAAUUCGUAGAUAUCGGGAGGAACACCGGUGGCGAAGGCGGCGAUCUGGGUAGAUACUGACGCUGAGGUGCGAAAGCGUGGGGAGCAAACAGG
rnacentral:rRNA from 1 species